UACGUAGGGUGCAAGCGUUAAUCGGAAUUACUGGGCGUAAAGCGUGCGCAGGCGGUUAUGUAAGACAGUUGUGAAAUCCCCGGGCUCAACCUGGGAACUGCAUCUGUGACUGCAUAGCUAGAGUACGGUAGAGGGGGAUGGAAUUCCGCGUGUAGCAGUGAAAUGCGUAGAUAUGCGGAGGAACACCGAUGGCGAAGGCAAUCCCCUGGACCUGUACUGACGCUCAUGACACCGAAAGGCGUGGGGAGCAAACGAGGA
rnacentral:rRNA from 1 species